rnacentral:rRNA from 1 species
CAGUAGCCGCGGUAAUACGUAGGUGGCAAGCGUUGUCCGGAAUUAUUGGGCGUAUAGGGCUCGCAGGCGGUUUCUUAAGUCUGAUGUGAAAGCCCCCGGCUCAACCGGGGAGGGUCAUUGGAAACUGGGAAGCUUGAGUGCAGAAGAGGAGAGUGGAAUUCCACGUGUAGCGGUGAAAUGCGUAGAGAUGUGGAGGAACACCAGUGGCGAAGGCGACUCUCUGGUCUGUAACUGACGCUGAGGAGCGAAAGCGUGGGGAGCGAACAGGAUUAGAUACCCCGGUAGUCCCUGUCUCUUAUAC